rnacentral:piRNA from 1 species
UACCGUUUGCCCCUACGCAGG